AUUGAACGCUGGCGGCAGGCUUAACACAUGCAAGUUGAGCGAGCGGCGGACGGGUGAGUAAUGUCUGGGAAACUGCCUGAUGGUGGGGGAUAACUACUGGAAACGGUCGCUAAUACCGCAUUGCAUCAGAUGUGCCCAUAUGGGAUUAGCUAGUAGGUGGGGUAAUGGCUCACCUAGGCGACGAUCCCUAGCUGGUCUGAGAGGAUGACCAGCCACAUUGGAAUUGAGACACGGUCCAGAGUCCUGAGGAAGGCAGCAGUGGGGAAUAUUACACAAGGGGCGCAGGCCUGAUGCAGCCAUGCCGCGUGUGUGAAGAAGGCCUUCGGGUUGGAAAGCACUUUCAGCGAGGAGGCGUUACUCGCAGAAGAAGCACCGGCUAACUCCGUGCCAGCAGCCGCGGUAAUUC
rnacentral:rRNA from 1 species